GGGGUUAUGGCUCAAUGGUAGAGUGAUUGCCUAGCAUGUGUGAGGCUCUGGGUUCAAUUCCCAGCACCUCA
rfam:Ictidomys tridecemlineatus contig013556, whole genome shotgun sequence.